CUGGUUUGUAGGGCUUCUUUAUACAUUCUAGUUGUGUGUCUAAUGUUGAUUACAAAUAUUGCAAUAGUCUUCUAUUUUGUGGUUUUUAUUUUACUCUCUCAGUGGUGUCCUUUGAUAAAUAGAAGUUCUUAAUUUUUAAAUAGUCUGGUUUAUCCAUCUUUUUCUAUAUAAUUAAUAAUCUUUGCUCCAUUUAAGUAACUCUAACCCCAAAGGCAUAAGAUCCUCUUAUGUUUAUGAUCUAGAAGCUUUUUUGUUCUAUCUUUAAGGUGAGGAUACUUGGAACAGACUUUUGUGUAUGUUAAGGUAGGGGUCUGAUUUUCAUUUUUUCCAUACAGAUAUCCCACAGACCCAGCACCAUUUAUUGAGAAGACAAUCUCUUUCCCCUGCACUUCAGGCAUUCCAUUUAAAAAAACUGACUAUCAUUUUGAAUGGCUGGAUUGAGGCUGUGUUCCCUUGGGCAUGGGCUAAACCCUGUUGGGCUCCUUCAGUUGGGGCAGGGUUGGUAUUGGAGUCUGUGUUUGGCCAGGGCUGCAGGUAUGGGUCUGAUUUCAGCAUGGUGAAGGUGGGGAGAGGUGGAUGUACUGGGGGAGGUGGAUGCAGGGAUUCUGGGGGUGUUCAGCUUUUGUCCUGGCUUUUUUAUUUCUUGCAGCCUCUUAAAGGGCUUUCUAAAUCUCCUCCCUCUCAAACCAUCCAUUUCUUUCAUCGGCUUUGAUAUUGUAAACACAAUUUUAUGGGUUUUCUUUUUAAGGAGGUUGGAUUUUAUCUUUCGUGUCUCCUUCAUUGAGUCCUUUUCAGAGGCCUCCUUUUCUGUUUCUGAAAACCUUUUCUCUGCUUCCCCCCCAGCCUGCUGCCCCAGCAGGUAGGGUUUGAUGUUUGCCCUCAGGCAUUGUUAUCCUCGACCUUCUUGUGUUGACAACACAAGUCCAGACACCUGAAAGCUGUUGUGUAUUGAUCCUGCCGGGUCCUCCUCAGUACUGGGCGCUGCCGAAGGAGGCCUCACAGAACUGGAGCUUGGGCAGUUGGCCCAGACUCUGCCUAAUAGGGCUUUGCUUUUUCUUUUUGGUAAAACAUACAGAUUUCCUAAGUUUCUCUUCUCUUAACUUGGCAUUUAAAAUCCAGGAGAGUCUGACGUUGAAUGAGUUUUCUAGCACUGCCUCCCACAAACCCUCCUUAAGGUCCAUGUGCCUUGGGAUCUUCAUGCUCCUUCAUAUUUUAUUUCUUCUUAUUAAAAAAUUGAUCUAUUUAUAUAUUGCUUGGUUGAUUGGUUGAGGUAUAUCCCAAUUCUUUUGCUUACCUUUUCCAUAUUCCUCAUGUCGAAAUCCUGUUCAUUCCACAAAUGUCACCUCUCCCAGGGAGUCCUCCCUGCUUUUCCUAAUUAGCACUAGUCAUUCCUUCUGGGAUCCAGGGCUCUUCGCUUCUCUCUCUAUGGGACUAAUUACUGCCCUGGGUCUGUGCUUCUGCUCAUCUCUCCCACCAGGUUUUGAGUGCCAUCUCCUUGUUGACAAGGGCUGUAUCGUGUUUAUCUGUCUCCAGCAUGACAAGCCCUGGCGCAC
ensembl:lincRNA